rnacentral:lncRNA from 1 species
CAGGGCAAGGCGGAGAAGCUCUGUGUAGCAGCGAAAGGGACGAAGAGAUUGAGCUGGUCAUCCCGCCGGUGUUCGACAACUGCACCAAGCUUCUGGCCGCAAAGGAGCAGAUUCUGGCAAGGGACUUGUACUGGGAAGCUGUGUGUUCUGGCGGAGAGGAGGAGCAGGGGUGGGAGAGGGUGAAGAAGCUACUAAUUGAAAGCUGUGAGAAGAACCCAUUCGUGGGGGAGCCUCACCUGGUGCUGGGGCAGGUGUAUCUGAACCUGGGCAAGUAUGAGGAGGCCGAGUGGGAGGCGGAGAAGGGGCUGAAGCUGAUACUGGAGUGGGGGAGCAGCUGGGACAAGAGGAUGUCUUGGGAGGGGUGGGUGGCUUGGGGGAGAGUGCUGCUGACAAAGGCAGAGGAGAGGUCAUGGCCCCAGACUUCAUGGGGGAUCCUCAAUCUGGGUCUCGUCAAAUGAAACAAAGGUACUGUUGUUGGCUUCUAUCAACAGAAGAAUAAAUGUUGGAUAUUAACAACACAAAGUUACUGCAAGCCUAAUCAGCAUGCAUCGUAUUUAUUUUACCAUAAUGACAAAGUUUUAUGGCUGUUGUUAAACUGAUGAAGGAAGGUUCCAUCUGGUUAAUGUAUUGAUUCUGAUGACAAAAUCAUAUACCAAUCGGAGAAAUGAUGCACAAAUAAUUUACUGGAUCGAAAUCUUUGGAAGUUUAUGAAUGCUUGGAUGCAACUGGACAAUAAAUAGACAAGACUCCUCCUCCUAAGGAAAGAGGGAAAACAGCGGGCCUUGAAGUCAUGUCAAUAGACGACGGUUCCCAAAAAUAUGUGGUAAAGAAAUCAAAGAUAUAUUUGUAGAACAAUCUAAUUAUCGUGUUGAAUUCAAUUACGUGCUUUCCAUAAAAAGUACCACAAAAGACCCAGUUCUACAUACCCAGGCACUGAUUGCGGGAAACGUUGGACUUCAAGAGGACAUAUGAAUGGUGAAAUAUGACAAGGAUUUCAUCUUUCGUCUUCCGAUCAAGUGCUCGAAACAAAUUUUAACCGAAGCGAUUAUAAUCAGCCGAUCUAUGUAAGAUAAUAAGAAAACCCUAAAAUGAAGAGAAUAAAAGAAACAUCCUGAACCUUACCUUCAAGCACAACAAGAUGCAGCAUAUCGGUCAUCAACUACGAACUAGCAGCCGGAAAUUUUCAUCGCAAGAUUUAGGGCUAAUCUGGGGUUGUGACUGCGGGAAUCAAUAUGCCUUGGUUGGUUCUUGAAGGCAUUCAUUCGCCUACGAUCAAUGUCAUGAGAUCGCUACCAUAUGUAAUCGAGAUGCAGGAAUACAACUAUCAAGAAAGAAGAGUUUGAUCAAAGGAAGAGGAGGAGGGUCUACAAUAACACUUACAUGCUCCGGAUGUCUCCUCGUCGAGUUUGGGAUGCUUGUUCGUCGAUUUGGUGUUUCAUCGACGGGAAGAAAAGACCGACCCCUUUGAGAGCAUGCGCUUCACGGCCUUCAUCAAACCAUGCUAAGGUAUCUGAUUGGACCGGGUAUAUCUAAUUGGUUUACCAUGUGAUGGACCGGGUACGACCGGGUGUCUAAUCGAGUUACAGCGCGCGCGCUCAGUUCGAUUUGCUUCGCGGCAUUCACAUUCACUUCAGCCGUCCGAUGCGACAAUCGACGGCCAAGAAAGAGCUAAGCAAAACUCGAAUCAACCCAAUUCCACGACCCGUGCCGCUAAAAUUUCCGCCCUUCUCCCGCGAACACUCGAAACGAAAUCAGCGCGCGAAUCUCGAACUCCUCUCGCCUCCCGCUUAACUCCCCCUUUAUAUUGCCCCUUCUUCUCGUUCUCUCCAAUCUUGCUCUCGCCCCUUCAUUUCCAAUCCCUCUCUCGAUCGCUCUCUCUCGCGUGGUCUAUCAAUGGGAAGGAGUUCAUCAAGGUCCAACCCUCCGAGACCGCGGAAGAGGGUGGAGGCGGAGACUGCCAGCACACUGAAGCGCGCAAGGGACGGGAGCGCCUUCACCAGAUGGUAUGAUCCCUUACUUCCUCUUCUGCUGUAUUUGGAUUCUGACACCAUCUAACCUCUUCGUCAACGGCAUCAAAAUUUACCUUUUGUCUGUGAUUCAAUCGAAGUGAGGCAUGCAAAAAGGAUGUUGCUGUCGUCCUCAUCGACAUGCAUAGCUGCAGCCUUGAUUCCAAAAUCAGGAUGACUCUUGGUAGUAUCUUUCGCCUACCAGUGAUUGAUGAUUUAGAAUUUUAUGUAUGAUCUCUUAUGCCCUUUUCUGUUUGCGUUUGCCACAACAGAGUCUCAGGUUGUCGAGAAAGCAGUCGAGGCCAAGAAGCCCGUGGAGAAGUAAAUUCUUAUACACGAUACCCUCAGUCGAUUAGUACAUCCUCAUUUAGUUUUGCUUCUUCACGUUCCAAUUCUUUGUAAUUGCAGAAAAAGGGCGGUUUCCUCUGAAGGUAAGGAGAGGAAGGCAAAGAAGGGGAAGAAGUCCAAAGACUCCAGUGCCCCCAAGCGACCAGCCACUGCCUUCUUCCUCUUUAUGUAAGUGUUUCAAUGUAUCACUUGAACCAUUUUAUGCAUUUGAAGCACUUCACUGGAAAAAAUGGUCCUUUUUUUUUCCCCCCUCCACUUGUUGAACAUUGAUUAAUUCAAGCCUCUGUUUUGAAACUUUAGGGAAGAUUUUAGGAAGACAUUCAAGGAGGCUAAUCCUGACAACAAGAGUGUAGCUGUGGUAAAAAGCAAUCAUCUUAGUGUGUAUCAUUUUUAAUGUUUGUUUCCCAAAGGAGGUUCUUUGAUUUAUUUUGUUUCCCCUUGCUGCCAUUUUUACUGGGCUGAAACAGGUGUCUAAGGAAGGCGGUGAGAAGUGGAAGACCAUGUCAGAUGAAGUGAGUGUUUGUGGCGUCUUUUGAGUUAUAUGUGAUAUUAUUCGUGGAUGGACUUAUACUUAAAUUCUUAUUGUCUGAAAUCAGGAAAAGAAACCUUACAUCGAACGAGCAGCAGAACUCAAAGAAGAGUAUGCAAAAGCUGUAGAGAAACACGAUCAGGAAGAUGAGGAAGAGGUGAUUAGACUGUUCAUCAACUUUAGUUCUAUCACAUUCCAUGCAAUAUGCAUUAACAUGUUUUUUUUUUGUUUCUUUUUACUGGAUUGCCAACUUAUUGCUUCUUUCAUUUGAUAGGAAAAAGAAGGAUCAUCCAAGGAAGAAGAAGAGGUAGAAGAAGAAAAUGAGGCCUAAGGAAAGAUUUGAUUCUCCUUUGUGUAAAUUUAAAUUAGUUAGAUGGUUUUGGCUUUCUUUGGCAACUGAUUGCCUCCCAUGUUGAACUCAAGAAACAGUUAGUUUUGAAGGCUGUAAUUUUGAAGAUUAUAUUUUCUGAAUCCAUAUUUUGCUUAUGCAAAUUAAAAUAUUAUCAUAUUAAAAUUAGGAUCCAUCCGAUUCUAAACAGAUAUCAAACACGGCGAACUCUUAUGUAAUUUGAUUACGAUCUACUUCGUACGACGCCGGUAGGAUCCAAUUCGGUCUGAGGUCAGAUCCGAUCCAUCGAGUCUAGUAGCAAUCGGAUCCCACGAGAUGGUUCAUGGUCGAGUUCAAUGUGGAUUAUGAUCCGCGUAGAGCCCAAAAAAGAGCCGUUGGCUUAGCCCGAGUGGAGAAAUGGGUCUCUUUGGGUUUAAAUUAAAAAAAGGACGUGUCACUUCGUGCACCCGCGUGCCGAGGCACCCGGUCAAACACAGUAACUAAUUGGUUGACCCAAUCCAUCGUUGUCACAUAGUUUGGCGGGGUGUGGAAAUUGCGUGUGGAAAAAAAAGGUUACUCGAAAAAUUAAAAUAAGUCGUAAUAAAAACAUGUCUUCUGGGACCCGUUCUCUCUCUCUCUCUCUCUCUCUCUCCAAAUCCGCAUCUCUACCAACUUCACGGGGCGAUUGCUCCCCGGCCGAUCUCGUCUCUAUCAGUUCUUCGAUCGCCGCCUCCCUACAGAUUGGGUGUAAUUCCGCCCUCUCCUCUGAUCGGCUCUCCCUCUCCGAUCUCUGCCCACUCCUCCCAUCGCACCUCCUCACUUGAUCUCUGCGCCACUGCCGUGGAUCUCCGCCAUUUCCGAGUUGCCUUCGCCGCCGCCACCGAUCUCCAGUGCUCCCUCGAGAUCCUUCCAAAUAUAGAUCCCCAAGGUACUUGGAUAAAUCGAAAAUCAUCAUUGCACCUCUUGUGCUAGAUUUGUGACCAAACUUUGGUUUUUGGUCACCUCUCAAUUACUUCUUGUCCGUUAGAUCUGCUGUGUAGAGUUACUCUAAUGUUGUCGCACUUAGUGUGGGAGGAGGAGGAUGAAAUUGAAACAUAAAAGAUUAAAAAAAAAAAAAAGGGGGGGGGGGGGGGGGGGGCGAUACAUAAUGAAAUAAAUUAUUUAUAUAAUAAAAAUUAGUUAUAAUGUGUAUGCAUAUUAAUGCAGUAUAUUACUAUUGCAUUAAUAGUAAGGGAUAUUUUUCUCUCAUUCGAUAUGCUUUCCUUUCUGUGUACCCAUGGUAGAUGAUGGACAUUACAAAAACGGUGGUAGACCACAAAUAUGAUGGUGAUGGCCAAUAACAAACACAUUAGUAGCAAUAUCUCCUUUGUUUCAUAAUCAUAAUUAUUAAGUUUUUUUUCUAGAUUUUUUUCAUCUCGAUUUCUCUCUUCUUUUCCUACUUCCCCUUCCUCUUGUGCCCUCAUUUCACUUUUCCCCUUAUUUGAGCCUAUCAAAUUGCAUUAUAUUGAUCAAAACUGGUCACUUCUGAUUAAGCUUGAUCAGAUCUACCUAAUUUUGAUUAAAUUUUCAUAUAAGAUGACAGGGAUGACAAUUGUUUAGGUUUUGUGCUUAUCUGAUCCUCUUAAGCUGGAUGAGUAUACUUGUUAUUUGGUUUCGCGAGUGGUUUGUGUACUCGAGUGAGGUUUGGGAUAUCUUUGGCUAAUUGGGUUGGAAAACAGGUAGAAUGAAAUUCACUGGUUCCUGAUUCAUUUGCAUUCUUAGAUGACAAUUGGUCGGGUUGCUUGUGUAUUAUACCUGUCUGACCCACUUAAGUUUCGGUUACAAGUAGUCAAAGAUGCCAUUUAGGUAAGAAAGAACUAUUUCUACAUGUCUAAGAAAAACAGUGCAUUGUUAUUCUGAAUUAGAAAUUAUUUUGUCAGUUGGCUGUGUCAAGCGAUGGCUUCUGAUUUGAUGCUUGCUUUUAUCUUGUUCUUAUUGAUCGAAUUUUUUAUUUUGAAAAUCAUAGUAAUGUAUAACAAGUACAUUUUCAGGUAUGUAAUCAUUUAUGGUGAAGCUCCAAAUUGCUUCCUCAGAUUUUUCUGGUGGUGGUGACAAAACUGGAGCCAAAUAAUAUUUAACAGCACUGCAGUACUGCAUCCAUUGUCCUGCUAAAACAAGUCAUACUAUAUUGCUCGAUCUCUUGAAGGGGAAAACAUCAUGCGGCUUUCAUUGUCUCUCCAAGAUCUGAAAUCAUUCUCUAAACUGAAUUCAAGGGAGGCGGAUGACCUUGAAAAUUAUAGGAAUUAUGGACAUGCAGAGCCUCUUUGUGCUCUUCAAAAGGAACGUGUAGCAUCAAGCUUUUCAAAGGAGAAGUCCUCCCCAACAACUCCAACUAAACGGGAGGAAUGUGUUCGGGCAACUAUAGGUGUUAUUGCAUUGCUAUUUUUGUUCUUAUUGAUCUUGCUAUGUUCUGUAUACCUCCAUACAUUUUUGUCACGUGAAGCAUCUCAGUAUUACAUUAUACUUGAUAGUGGUAGUACUGGCACUCGGGUUUAUGUUUAUAAGUGGUCUAUUGACCAAAAUGAUGCCAUUCAAAAUUUUCCUAUUGCAUUAAAAUCUUUACCUGAAGGCCCUCAAAGGAAUCCUAGUGCACAGAGUGGCCGAGCUUAUCACCGUAUGGAAACAGAGCCUGGUUUUGAUAAGCUUGUUCAUAAUGAAUCUGGCUUAAGGGGUUCUUUGCAGCCACUGCUGCAGUGGGCUGAGAAACAAAUACCAAAACAUGCUCACAAAGGUACAUCUCUGUUUCUAUAUGCUACAGCUGGAGUUCGCAGGUUACCUAGUUCUGAUUCAGAGUGGCUUCUGGACAAGGCAUGGACCAUUUUGAAGAAUUCAUCAUUUUUAUGCAGGAGAGAUUGGGUCAAGAUUAUAUCAGGCAUGGAGGAAGCGUAUUAUGGGUGGAUAGCUCUUAACUACCAUAUGGGUUUAUUAGGUUCCUUGCCAGCUGGAAAAACAUAUGGUUCACUUGAUCUAGGUGGUUCAUCAUUGCAAGUUACUUUUGAGACAGAGACACCCAUACAUGAUGAUACAAGUAUAAAUUUGAGAAUUUCAUCUGCUAGUCACCAUCUUAGUGCUUAUUCUCUGUCAGGAUAUGGAUUAAAUGAUGCAUUUGACAAAUCUGUCGCCCAUCUCUUCAGAAAACUUGUGGGUACAUCAGCUGAUUUUAUUAACGAGAAGAAAUUGCAGCUUAAACAUCCUUGCUUAAAUACUGGCUAUAUGGAGGAAUAUGCCUGUUCUCGUUGCACUUCAGUUAACCUAGAAGGAAGCCCUUUGAUCGGAGGUAAAACCAUGAGCAAACGGCGGACUGGGACAAUUGUUGAACUACUUGGUGCUCCUCAAUGGGAGGAAUGUAGUGCACUUGCAAAAUUAACAGUUGAUCUGUCUGCAUGGUCUAACUUUAGUUCUGGAGUUGACUGUAAACAUAAACCUUGUGCUCUCAGUGAUGGUUUGCCUCAUCCACGUGGGAAAUUUUAUGCCAUGUCAGGUUUCUAUGUGGUUUUUCGAUUUUUUAACUUGUCUUCUGAGGCUUCUCUUAGAGAUGUACUAAAAAGGGGCCAGGAAUUUUGUGGUAAAACAUGGCAAGUUGCUAAGAAUAGUGUUGCACCACAACCUUUUAUUGAACAAUAUUGCUUUAGGGCUCCUUAUGUUGCAUCUCUUUUGAGAAAUGGGCUGCAAAUUAAAGAUAGUCAGGUGAUUGUUGGUUCUGGUAGUAUUACUUGGACACUGGGUGUAGCCAUAUUGGAGGCUGGACAAACAUUGUCCAGUAAGGUUGAACCACAAGCCUAUAAGAUAGUACAAACAGACAUUCAUCCAGCUAUUCUUCUAGCAGUACUUUUGAUCUCACUUAUUCUACUUUGUUGUGCACUAUCAUGUGUUAGCAAUUGGAUGCCAAGAUUUUCUCGAAGAUCAUUUCUCCCACUUUUCAGGCAUAACAGUGUGACAAACUCUGUUCUUAAUAUCCCUUCUCCUUUCAAGUUCCAGCGGUGGAGUCCUAUUGUCUCAGGUAAGCUUCUCUAUUGUUGGUAAUUUUGGUUGUCUUUACUUGAGCCACAAAAGUCACCUUUUUUAUCUAUCUGGAGCAUAGUUACUUUUAGCUGUUCAUAAUCUAGAUAUGAUGUUGGCUUCUCUUGACUAUAUCCAUGACAUAGUUUUCCUUGCUUGCCACUUUGUAGAAUAGAUAUUACACUGUUUUCUAUCUCAUUUAUUUUGGAACCCGAGUGACGGAUUAUUUUAAAAUGAACAAUGAUUGUGGUGUAAUUAUCCCGACAACUAAUACUUAAUGUUGGUUGGUGUACAAGUUACGAAACAUGGAUCUAUUUUGAUCUUCUGCCUUUUUUUUAAAGAAUGUAAUAUUAUGCGUUCUGAACAAAAUUUUUCUGUGCCUUUGAAGUCAAUCCAUUGGACCAUGUGACUUGCUGUUAUAUCUGUUUCUAUUAGCUUUUGCAUUGUUAGAGACCAGUAAGCAAUUACUUCUAGAUUGUCAGGCUGCAUGAAGAUUCCAAUUGCAUCUUUCUGCGGAUGCCUAUUUAAACUAUUGACUUAUCAUGUCAGUGGCUUCGUGAGCUUGAUUAAUCAAUGUUACUAAUUUGAUGCAAAUUUAGGGAUGAUCUCAUAACCAAUUGUCUCCUUUUAAGUUCAAAAUGUUCAGCAUUUUGUUUAGCUGCAUAACCGGAUUGGUCAAAUUUGGUUAAUUCAUAAUUUAUUGGAACAUAGCUAGUCUUUCAUGACAAAGCACGAAAAAUAGAAUUUGGAGUCUUCAAUUCAUUUUCUUUAAUGUUAUAGGUGAUGGAAGGAUAAAAACACCACUCAGUCCUACCAUUGGUGGUUCUGAGCAGCAGCCAUUUAGCAUGGGACAUGUCUUGGGAGGCAGCAGCAUACAGCUUGGUGAAUCUUCUGUGCAUCCCUUGGUUGCAUCUCAUAGUCAUUCAUCUGGUAUUGUAGGCCAAAUGCAGUUUGGCAAUGGAGCUGGAUCCUUCCGACCUCCUCACCGGGGCCAGGCAACACUUUCUAGCCGGAGAUCUCAGUCAAGAGAAGACCUUAGCUCUUCAUUGGCGGAAGCCCACAUGGUGAAGGUUUGACCUACAUGUUCAACUAUAGAUCUGGUACAAUCUUGUAUUUUUUUUCCUGUGCUACUUUUCUAUAGUACGUUGCCUUUCCCCAUAUGGAGCACCUUCAGUAAAAAAAUUCUGAUUAUCUCUAGGAUUUAACUAAUUUUCAAAAUGCUGGUACACUUUGCCUACUGAGUGCUGUACCUUUAAGUGUAUUGAGUGCUUCUUCUGAAGCAGGGAUUCAGAUGCAACAGAUCAAGAUCUCUAUAAUGAUUUAUCAACUUGCAACAUUCUUCAAUCCGCCUUUAGCCAGGUUCUUGGACCGCAAUCCCACUUUGUUUCUAGCUUGUUGGAGCUCCAAUUGGAUGGAUCCUCAUUCUUUUCAGGUUUUAUAUCACAGUGGAGUAGUAUUUUGCUCCUAUUAUAAUGUCUUUUAACAUGAAUUUAAUUGGUAUUUUUGAUUCAAUCUGAAAGUAUACUCGAUUUGUUCACCCGAAACAACAAGCAUGAGGUGGAGAUCAUGUUCCAUCAGUUGGGCUUUAUUCUUCAGCUUUUCUGAUACUUUGCAAUUGUAUUAUUUACUCUUUUUCUUUUUGUAGAAAAAAAUGUAAUACCAGUUAUAGCUGAGAAUAUUGUGCUUGCUGAUAUUGCAGCAAGAGUUUGUUAGCUAGAACAUUUUCAUUUUGUCGAAUAAGUGUAUUGAAUAGUAUGUGCAAGACUGUGGAUCAAGCCAAUGAUGAUAAAUUGAAUAGUGCAAGUUUUCCAUUUCGAGUAAACUAUCUUGUUUGCAAUAAAAAAUUAUGAGAUUUCUGCAGAUCAGCAAAAUUAAAGAGAUUUCCUCACUUUAGAAACUCGCUUACUGCUAGGUUGUGUCAAAUUGGAAGUAUACUUGGGUGAAGUUAAGUAAGAGUAGAGAUCUAUCUUUGUUUCUCAACUGCCAAGCUUUCCAUGUAAUGGAGUGAUGUAAAUGAGUAUCUCUGCUUCAACUGCAUUUUGGACGAUGGAGAAGUAGUCCGAGGUUCUAGAUUCGGUUGGCAAACAAAACAAAAGAAGGUUGAACAGCCAAUGAACUAUUGCAGUCAUCAUGAACUGAUCUUGCAAUAUCUGCUUUCCUUUUGCAUCCAUGUGAGGCCUUGUUGAGAUAAGGUGCAGUUAUCUUAUAUGUACAUCACCAGAUCUCCCAAUUGGUUUGACAGUCCAGCAAGUCACUGGUCCUAAAACCCUGUGCUCGUGGCUGUGUUGAAGGAAUUACUUUGUACAACACCCAAAUCAAUUCAUGGCUUAUUUAAAUGUACAUUGUUACGAUGCAGCUGCUGUUUAUCUACAGUUAUUUGUUGAUGUCAGGUAUUCUUUGCAGAACAUUGUUGCCAUACACAAUCACAAGAAGCAGGUCAACCUUUUCUUUUAUUUUUUAUUUUUUAUACCUUUUUUGCUCUUCACUCUAGGUCAGAUCUACUUGUUGCCCUAGAAUUUGAAUUCUUGCUGUUGAUUGUUAUGCUUGACCCAUUGAAUCUCUUUGGAAGCCGAUGCUUUAAUAAUUCAUUUCAUUUUUAAUUGAAUUCUCAUGUUAGGAAAAACAGGUUCUCAAAAAAUUGCUAUUCCUGAGGCUUUUUUUAUCAACAUCUUUCUCAUCAUCCUAUGUCAUUAAAACAAUCAUAAAUAUCAUUCUUCCAGAAAGGAAAAAGAUGCUAAAUUGUUCACUACAUAAAUCUUUUGUUGGCUAUAUUAACUAUGUCAAAUCUUGUUCCUUAGCAACACAUUUAUAGGUUGCUACUUGUCCAUCCUCAACCUUUUAUUAAUCAUCAUUCUCCUCCAAAGAUCCUCAAAGAUUCAUCUGACAAAGACUUGGUGCUCCUAUCUGCUUCUAAACCAAAAGUUCCAUCACUGAUCUUUUUUAAGCGUGUAGGUAAUAGGCAUAGCAGUAGCUGUAAGAUAGCAUUAGUUCAUGAGACAUCUGUCUCUUACAAGAAGAUAAGUUUGUACUUGUUUAAAACUAAAUGCUGCUCUCUCUCUCUCUCUCUUGUUCGAAUGCCUCAAUUAUUGGAGUGUUGUUGCACAGCCCACUGCCUCCCAAUCUCCAUUCUUCUCCUUGGUGACAUCUCCACUUUGUGAUCAUUUUUCUUGUGGCACUAGAUCUUGUUCUUGUCGUAUCCUUUGUGCUCUCAGUUGUUUAGUGUUGAUGGUUGUGUUGGGUGACUAAUGUAAUCUAUUUUGGUUAAUUAAGUUGCUUUCAAGAUUUAACUCUUUUCUCCUAUUAAUGUGAAAGCAGCUUUCUAAAGUUUCCAUUGUGAUAUUUUUCCUUGGGAACAAGGAAGAGGGUUUGCUGUGCUCAGUAUCUCCUCUACCAGAUACUUCACCAAGUAUGCAUGCAGGUGAAUUAUUUCACGCAACAUGGUUAUAUAAUUGCUUCGCUCUUUUUGCUUAAGGAAGUUACUUUGAUUUUGAAUGUUAUAUUUGUCCAAAGGAAAAAUGUAUGAUGAAGUUGGCAGUGGCUGUUCCAUUGCUGUGGGACUUGUGAGCAAACGUGGGCAAUUGCAGGAACUAAUAAAGGAGAUAGCCUUUACAAUGAUGCAGCUAAUAAUGCUGCUGCUGCUGCUGCUGCUGUGUGGAUUCACAUAUAUUCAGUCUUGGUGCUCAAUCACUCCCAACUCCUCCCACUUCCACAGUGGCUGCUACACUCAUCCUAGCUUCAAAUAAACAACAGAUAAGGAAGGGACAACAACAAGAAUCAUCAUUCAGGUGCCAACCCAGUCACAGGUUUGUGAUCUAGGCUUUUUAACCACCAAAGUCACUCGUUUACCUAAAAAGAUUGAAUUGUUUAAUGUCAGCAUGAGUUGUUUUCACUAGUAAACAAAUGAAGCAUGCAUUUCUAGCUUCAUCACUGUCAUGCCCAUCAUCUUAUUAAAACAACAAGCACACUGUUCUCCUACAUCACUCCUAAUAAAAAUGCAUUGUAAACUUCCAGUUCUCCUACAUCAAUCCUCCUGCAUGCAUGUCUUGUUGCUGCUGGUUCUUUUUUAUGUGACAUGAAUAAUGUUUAAUUUUAAGCCCAUGUUCUUGCUGAUUGAUUGAUGCACACAUUUCAUAAUGCUUGCAUGGUAUGAAGCCAUUUCAUUAUCCCACACAUUUCAUCAAUCCUGCAUGACUUGUUGCUGGUUCUAUUUUUAAGUCUCUCAAGGGAAACAUUAUUCUUUUUAUGUGACAUGAAUAAUGUUGAAUUUUGAAGUCCCAUCUUCUUGCUGAUUGAUGCACACGUCUCAUAAUGCUUGCAUGGUAUUUCUUUAUGUCGUCUGUCUGUUUGCAUGAGAGCGUGCUGAGUGUGAAGCCAUUAAUUGGCCUUUCCACAUACAGGUGGUGUACAUCCUAGAGGAGGAAAGCAGACUGUGGUCCUUCGCUUUGUCUCCUCACCGUGCUCAACCUGCUCGGUUCAAGUGAUUUGGCGCCUUGACAUGGUCUAACUCCGUAACAUCACUAAAGGUAUAACCCCUCUGUCAUCACAAACAAUGUCAAAGAUGUGCAACAAAAUUGCCGGUGUAGAUUCCUAUCGAGGGAUGGUUGAAGACGAAGAAGAUUACAUAUGUAGGUGUGUCACACAGCUUUAAGCGACCCAACACUCAUCCAUCCUCCGCUUUUGCCAAAAAGCAGUCCAAGUGAAAGCUACAACACAUCAAAUCGAGUUGGAAACUGCAAAGCCCAAACCAUUAGACACACACCGAAUCCAAACCUCGAAGCCACCCAUCCCUCCACACUCCCACAUACUAACACAGCAUAAAAGCCGCUCUCGUUUGGAGUCUCAUUCCUCGCACAGACACCUCCUUACAUUAAACAGGAAGAGAUGGUGGUGACAUCCUUCUUCGUCCUCCAACUACUAUUCUUGCCUCCCUUUGCGGCUCUCGCACUCGACUUUCACGUCGUGAAACCCCACGACCUCGCCUUCGGCGCCCGCCACCGUCCCGCGAAGCUCGCCCCACUCGGCCACGGCCAUAACAGGCUGUCGUUGAGCUUGUUCCACCGCGACGCGCUCCCCGGCCGUAACUUCUCUGGCCAUCGUCACCGCCUCGACCGCCUCUUGGAGAGGGACUCCCGGCGGGUGGUCACCCUUACGCGCCGCCUAUCCACCGCCAGAUACCAUGUGGACGACUUUGGUUCCGAGGUGGUUUCCGGCUUGGAAGAAGGCAGCGGGGAGUACUUCGUCCGCGUCGGGGUCGGCGUGCCGCCGCGGGACCAGUACUUGGUCGUCGACUCCGGCAGCGACAUCGUGUGGAUCCAAUGCCGGCCGUGCUCGCAGUGUUAUGCCCAGUCUGAGCCGGUGUUCGACCCGGCGGAGUCGGCGUCCUUCGCGGGCGUCGCGUGCGGCUCUCCCAUCUGCGGCCUCCUCCUCUCCGGCGCGUCGGCGGCGGCCGGGUGCCAUGCGGGCGACUGCCGGUAUGCCGUCUCUUACGGCGACGGAUCCUCCACGAAGGGCACCCUGGCGCUGGAGACGCUGACCUUCGGGACGAGCGCCGUCCGAGACGUGGCCAUCGGGUGCGGCCACAGCAACCGCGGCCUCUUCGUGGGCGCCGCCGGAGUUCUGGGCCUGGGCUGGGGGCCCAUGUCCUUCGUAGGCCAGCUCGGCGGCCAGGCCGGCGGCGCCUUCAGCUACUGCCUCGUCAGCCGCGGCUCUGACGCGCCCACCGGCUCGCUUGUCUUCGGCCGGACGGCGGCCGUCCCGGUGGGCGCCGUGUGGGUCCCGCUGCUCCGCAACCUGCGCGCCCCCAGCUUCUACUACGUACGCCUGCUGGGCCUCGGCGUCGGGGGGGUGCGGCUGCCGGUCCUCGAGGACGUGUUCCAGCUAACCGAGGAAGGGGAGGGCGGGGUGGUCAUGGACACCGGCACCGCGGUCACCAGACUACCAGACGCGGCCUACGCGGCGCUGCGCGACGCCUUCGGGGCGGCCACCGCGGGCCUGCCACGGGCGCCCGGGGUGUCCAUCUUCGACACCUGCUACAGCCUUUUCGGGUACCAGAGCGUGCGUGUGCCGACGGUGUCGUUCUACUUCGCCGGCGGCACGAUACUAACGCUUCCCGCCCGGAACUUCUUGAUUCCGGUGGACGACAUGGCGACGUUCUGCUUCGCGUUUGCACCCUCCUCGUCCGGCCUCUCCAUCAUGGGCAACAUCCAACAGGAGGGGAUUCAGAUAACGUUUGAUGCUGCCAAUGGAUUCGUCGGCUUCGGACCCAACACUUGCUAAGUACUUUGUUUAAGCUAUAGAUAUGAAUCCUGGAGACUGCGUAGUAUCUUAGGUUGCAUGAACGCAGGCCACAAGUAUAAUGUACAUAUCGAGUGGCUUCGAAGCAGUAAGUAGAGAGAGCAGAGUUGAUUACUUGUUGCAGACUCUGUUAACUACAAGAGGAACUAAACCAUCUCAUGUUACUCUGUAUGGUUCUCUUGCUCGAAUAAAAGCUACGAGUUUGCAGGAGGGCCCGAGAGGUGGAUGCGAUGAUGCCAUCUUGGUGUUGAUGCCUUUGACCAAACUCGGAGCAACUCGAUCGGCGGUUUCCUUUUUGUCAUUGACGAGUCUGGUUCAUGCUCCUCCUCUGGGUUGCCUCCAUGGGCGCGGGGAGGCCCACCGAGAGGGGCAAGGAGUGGUGGCACUGAACAAAGGGAGGAAUCCCUGAAAGCAAAGAGAGGACAAAGUCAUGGAUGGACUUGGGGUUUCGUCUCCCCAGGAUGACUGGGUAUAUUCAAACACUGCUUUCUUCUGCCGCUCAGUGGCUCUUCUGGAGAGCCAUCAUUGAAGGCUGGAACUUUGCAACUGGGAAUCUAUCCCUCUGCCUGUGGUUGAACUUUGCAGGACUAAAUCACCUUUUAAUUCUAUGUUGAAAAGGAUAAUGCAUUUAGCACGUAAGACAUUAACCAUUAGGACUCAGCUUCACUGCAGUGAAUGUGAUUUCACUUUCUUCAUCGUUAGUGAAGAAAGAAAGCACGUAAGGGUUUUGGCAGAAAAGAAGCAAGAGUUGAUGUUUUCUUGAUUUUUAUAGUGUUUUGGCAGAUAGAGAUUUGUAUGCAAAAAAGCAUAUAUGUCUUAUAUGUAUGGAGAUUGUAAUAUGGAUCUCUUUUUCUUUUGUGGGUAUAACUUUAUAAACCACAGUUGAAUGAACAAGUGGCAGUAACAUNNNNNNNNNNNNNNNNNNNNNNNNNNNNNNNNNNNNNNNNNNNNNNNNNNNNNNNNNNNNNNNNNNNNNNNNNNNNNNNNNNNNNNNNNNNNNNNNNNNNNNNNNNNNNNNNNNNNNNNNNNNNNNNNNNNNNNNNNNNNNNNNNNNNNNNNNNNNNNNNNNNNNNNNNNNNNNNNNNNNNNNNNNNNNNNNNNNNNNNNNNNNNNNNNNNNNNNNNNNNNNNNNNNNNNNNNNNNNNNNNNNNNNNNNNNNNNNNNNNNNNNNNNNNNNNNNNNNNNNNNNNNNNNNNNNNNNNNNNNNNNNNNNNNNNNNNNNNNNNNNNNNNNNNNNNNNNNNNNNNNNNNNNNNNNNNNNNNNNNNNNNNNNNNNNNNNNNNNNNNNNNNNNNNNNNNNNNNNNNNNNNNNNNNNNNNNNNNNNNNNNNNNNNNNNNNNNNNNNNNNNNNNNNNNNNNNNNNNNNNNNNNNNNNNNNNNNNNNNNNNNNNNNNNNNNNNNNNNNNNNNNNNNNNNNAACCUAACCUACUCUCUCUCUCUCUCUCUCUCUCUCUCUCCCUCUCCCCAGUCCCUUCCAGGUGCUUUGGAUGAUCUCUGUUGUCAUGAGCUGAUGCAGAGACCAAUGAAUGUUUGGGACAUGGUUUUUGAGUGUACACCCAGAAAAACUGAUCCAUAUGGCAUGUUUGUCUAGAGACGAAGGUUGAGUGGGAGACCAAGUGGCAAAAGUAAGUUGGAUUCAAGGGGAAAUCUUUAAUGGCUCUUCUACUGGAUCUUUAAUGUUUUGUCUUUGCAUAAAACGGUUGCCUUAUGAGCUAGACAUAUAAAUCUAUGUUUAGUCUGUCAAAGAAAUCUAAGUUCAGCAUCUGACCGAAGCUUGUAUAAUCUAAGUCAUCAAACAAAUAAUAUUCAAGACAGAUAGACCUUGUUGACCAAUUCUAAACUUCAUCCAUUCUGAGACAUUACUAGGAUUUCACAAGUUCAAAUAAUUCAAUCUAGCUUGUUCAAUAUUCUCAACUUAUCCACUGCAUGCAUCAAAAGAACAAGAAUCAUAGUAUAAUGUCAGAGUCCUCAUUUGAAUCAAGAUAGAUCUUGAUGCAACAGAAGAUUAAAUGCAUGUGACAAAAACACUUUCAGAGCUUUUUUGCUUCAUGAUGCAGAGAUAAUUCUCUGAGAAAGAAUGUAUGGUUUUCAGAUGACUCAUGUCAUCUGACUCAUUUCACCAUAUAAGUAAAUGGACACAAAUUACUAACUCAGUGCAUCAAUUUAAGAGAUCAAGCAAAAGCAAAGUUAAGGAAAACAGGUAUACUUCAUCUCUUCUUUAAAUUGGAUGAUGUCUUUACAGUAAUCACAUGAUUUUAAAACAAAAAAAAAAAGAGUAAAAUGGUUUUCUGUCAAAUUAUAUGAUGCCUGGCAAAUUUAAAUUGAUAGCCAGGAAAAGAAUGAACAUCAAUGUGAAGGUAUUAUAUAAUGCAAAAAAUGUCUUAUGAAGAAUCCCUGCAACAGGUGAGAACACAGUCCUCCAGAAAGUUGGCAAGCUGAGAACUGUAGAGACCUGGAUGGCUUCUGAAAUGAUCAACAUGAGGAGAUGACAAGAAAUCACAUGCCCUGACCUCAUGCCCGGCUCUCCGUUGUGCUUCUACAAAGGAUUCCACCGAUUUUGCAGGAAUUACUCGGUCAGCAGAGCUAUAUAUAUACAAUUGAGGACAUUUGGGUUGCUCUGAAGUCAGUAAAUCCAAGACAUCAGACAAUCUCCUGUAAGAAUUGCCAAAAACAUAUUAUUCGUCAUUGGAAUUCCACUGUCUUACAGUGAAAAAGAUCGUAGCACACAGAACUAACAGCCAACCUUAUCUAAUGUCUCCACAACACUAACCCACCAUUUAUAUGAUUUAUUUAUAUGAUUUAUCUCUUGAUGAGUAACUCCAAAACAUUUAAGACAACUUGCUUUUUCAUAAAUAAAUCCGGGACUUGCAAGAUUAGUUUGUGUUUCGAAAAACUAGUCUACCUCAUAUUAGACUGGUUAUAUUGAGCACUUUGGAAAAAGACAGAUAGCAAUAGCUGACAAUUGAUUACGGAUAGUAAACACUACCUGUUGAUAGCAGGUAAGUUUAAGACCACCUCGAAGAACUUCUCCAGGACUACUAACAAAGCACUUUCUGCGACUGCAGGUUUAGGUCCCAAGCUUGAAUCACCAGUAUCCGUCAUGCCCUUCCCUGAAUCAUUUGAGCCUACCAUCCCCUUUGUUGCUACACUCUGCUUUUUCAAGAAAGCAGCAGAAAAACCUGAAGCCCAGACCUAUACCAAGCAAAGAUUGGAACUUUUAUCGCACUGGAUUUUGAGAAUUAGGAACGGUAUGAAAACUAAACCAUGGUUAAUUCUUCCAAAGGUGCAAUAUAAUCACAUUGCUUGUGCAGAAAAUUGAGCUUAUCAGAAGAACAAAAGAAUACCACAACUAUGAAUAAAAAAGAAAGUAUAUUUAUUAUAAUAAUGUGAAAGAGCAGACUCAUGCACAUCUUUUUUCUUCUUACCCUAGUUCUGUUUUUGGCUCAGAACACACAUUUUAUUUCUCUUAAACUUCCUCAUUUUCCCUCUUCUCCUUUUCAAAUAAAUGUCGGUUUGUUACCAAAGUCAAGCUCAGAUUUGAUCAUGUCAAAAGACUUGAUGCAAUGCUAGUAAUACAGGAUGAAGAUCCUCAAUGUGUAACUAAAGAAAUGGUGAUAGGAAAAGGAAGAAGAUCAAUAGAAGCAUUAUUUAGGUAAUGAUGGUAUGUCACAACGACAAAAGAAAAUUAUCACACUGAAUAUAAUUAUACAAAUGCACAAAUUAGAAUUGAAAUGAACACCACUGACAUAAAACUAACAAAUCAUCAAAGCAAAAGAUAAACAUUCAAUGAAGUAUAGAUCAGAAUUCCAGACCAAACAAAUCCUUUACCUGAGGAUCGGAUGCAGCAACAGGAGCUGAAUCCACGACACAUCCCUUGAUCUUUCCGAUCACAGAUGGAUCCUGCUUCCUAAACUUCUCGAGUAAUACUCCAUAACUACAACAAAUAACAAUCAAAUUUUAGCCACAAACUUCUCUUCGGAGGAAGAAGAAGAAAGCUAAUGGGAGAUGGACGACAGAGAGCGUACGUCAACCAGCCUGUGUUACUGAAAGUGUGGAAGACCAAGUUCUUCCCGUUCUCCUCCGAGACCCAAUCCACAAGAUGCUCUGCUAGCAACUGGACAUCCUGCUCGACCUUCCCUCCGACCUUGUAGCUCAUUACAUCGGCCAAGGGAAAUGUGAAGGUCACGACAUGAAACCCCCUCGAGGUGUACCAAUCAGCAUACUUCUUCAGAUGCCUCUGCUUCGCUCCGAGCCAGCCGAGCAAAAUCACCACCGUCUGGGACUUUGCUCUCGAGCAGUGAUCGGUCCCGGCAACCCCAGAAGCAUUGGGGUCAGGCAGAUGCCAGCGGUACAUCACAUCCGAUGGCGAAGAAGCGAUGGCCGGCGGGAAUUCGUCUUUCUUUUUGGGGUUGGCCAGCUUGGCGUACUCAUACGGGGAGAGGAGGACUGCAGGCGAAGCCAUGGGGAAGGGGGGCGAGACGAAGACGGAAUCUGGGAGAUGGGCGGAACGCUUUCUGUCGAUGGGCAAGAAUGGGAGGUUCGAGAUGUCGGAAACGGACAUCCGACGCGCUGCAGGCUCUGGCUCCGGCAACAAGACGUGCGUAGGUGCGGCGGCAUGGGAGUCCGACCGAUUGGGCUGGGAGGAGACGCGGUCCGGCAGUGCCGACGACACGGCGGCGACGGCGACGGCGGCUGCGGCGGAGAGAGGUCGAUGCAGAAUUCCGUAAAGAGAAGCCAUUGGGGGCGAAAUGGCUCAGCGUCUGUGCAUGAAAAGUAAUAUAAAGGAAAACAAUUCUUUGCAGGCUCGUCGAGGACGCAACCACCGACCUGCUCUGUGGGAAACAGGUCAUCCACGCGUUAGAAUCAAGCACGAUGAACACGGAUUGAGAAGGGAGUCAAAGUGGAGGAUUCUUGGUCAAAGGCCUCACGAAGCCGAAAUUAAUUGACCAAGCGCGUCGCUUUCUCGUUCCAAUUAGAUGGCUAAGCUCGUCGAGGAGCGAACUGCGACUUACCCGAGAGAACCGAGGGCUUCCGGGAAGAACAGAAGGGCCGGCUGUCGGAGGACGUCGACAGCCAAGCCCAGCCUCAGACCACCAACUCCAAUUUCUUUCUCCUCCUCCUCUCGCUUCGAUUUGCAAACCAAGAACUGUAAGAAAAAUCGAAGCUUUUGAGAUUUAAUCGAACAACAUCAACAAAUCGGACCGAACAUCGUGCACAAAGGAUCUGAAAUAUUUGAGAGAUCCCUAAUCGGAUCAGUUGGUGCACGAAAACAAAGAUGCAACCUUUGUGGCUCGAUGGGAACGGAAGCUCCUCAAGAAGAUCCAAUGGAACAGGAAGGGAAGAAGGGCGGCGGAAGGCGAAGGCGAAGGAUAGCGUAGCGUCUCCGCGACCGUGGAUUUAUGAUGGAAAUCUUGUCGAUCCGCUCCUCUCCUCUCCUCUCCGCUACUCCCCCUAUCGAAUCGCAACCAUUGUCGCGUGUUUUCCCUUUUCUUUUUUUUUUUCUUUUCUAUUUUCUAUUUUUGGUUUUCUUCUCAUCCGAUUCAAAUAUGCCUUCGAAUAUGCUUUUUUCUAAAUUUAUUUUCUCUUUUUUUAAAUGCAAGUUUUAUUGGGAAGUGAAGCCGUCGUCGGCAAAAUUUUGACCCGCCAAAAGCCCUUCCCAGGGACCCGGAAUCUACUCAGGAUUCUCCUCGAAUCCAGGAUAAGCUCUCGUAGACGCCCGAUCUUAAUCGGACGGCUGUGAUCAAUGCAAUUACAAAUUACGAAUCUGGCUUGGAUUGAAACAGUGCGAGGUGGAUGGAGGGGGAGGACGAUGUUCGAUGGUCGCGGCCGUCAGGUGGAGAGGAUAAGGAUGAGAAGUACAGAACAGAGAAAAGUGAGGGAGGUGAACCUACCGAUUCAUGUGAACCGAGUGAAUAUGGAUGACUCAGCUUAGAAAACAUCCCAUUAGGAUCAUCAGAAAAAUCUUUUAUAUUUUUUUAGCAUUAUAAAGAAGAAAGCGGCACAUUAAUUAAUAUAUGAAAUUAUGAAAUAUUAAAAUAUUUAUAAUUUAUUAUUAUUAUUAUUAUUUAAUAAAGAAUAAGUGACUAAGAUAAAAUAUGAAUCCAGAAUCUUAAGAUAAAUUAUCAGAUUAUAAGAUAAUUUCUAGUUCAAACUCACAAGUUACAAAACCUUAUGCCUAAUAAUAUUAGGAUAAAAAUCUUGAUUAUACUAUCAUGGUAUUAAUCUAAAAAGAGAGACGAGGAAGGUUGAAUAGUUGAUAUCAUCAUAUUAAAUGUGGCUUAGGGUCAUGUUUUAACAGGCUUUUGCGCCCAAGCUUGUCAAACACUGUGCCUCUAAUUAGAGAGAAAUACUUAAUUCUAAUUUUAUUGGAUAUCUCAACUGUCAUUGCGCUUACCAUAAGUUCGAAUAUGGUUUACAUAAAUUAAACUUCCUAAUUGAAGUAUUAAUUAUUGUUUCCUUCAAACUAUGAAAUCUUUUUUUAAAUCAGAUUAUCCUUUAAGAAAUAAAAUAGAAUUGGUACACUAGGUAAGUUUUAUUUUUUAGUAUAAAAGAUAAAUAAUAUAGAUGAGAUUGAUUCCAAAAUCUUGAAUAUAUAAUCUAAUAUCAUAUUUUGAUAAUAAAAUCAAUUGAUGAAUUUAUGAUCUAAUAUUAUUUUUGAGAAAAAUGAUGCAAGACUAACUUCGAUCAAAAAAAGGCAAAACGAUUGAAGCAAGAAGAAUCAGACAUUAGACCAGAGUCAGAAAUCAAGCAUCGGGCUGGAGAAUCGGACAUUGCGCCAAGAUCGAGUGUUGUGAGAGUCAACAUACCGAAGGAUUGAACAAUAUGCCAAAGGUUUAAACAAUGCGUCAAAAGUUCAUCGAGAGUUCGAAUGAACCAAUGACACCCCGAACAACUUAGAUUCUUGUCUUGUGAUUGUUUAGGUCUUAAUUGUCCUAAUUAAGUCUUAAAUUGAGUUAGAUUUGGGUCCCUACUAACUCAAUUAGAGGCUCUUUGAGCCUAAUCUAUGGCUAAGUUAGGCUCAUUGGGAGGCCCAUUCAGUGACCCAGGGUUAUGUUAGGUGCUAGUCAUAGGUGUCCUAUAAGCCAAACACGUAAAUAAUGACACAUGUAACAUGACACACAAUCUUUUUGCUUAUUAUAUUAUUUAGAAUUUUAUCACUUUAUAUUACUUAUUGCAUGAAUAUAUUGUGAUGUUCAUAAAUUUGUACAAUGGGAAUCAGAUUGUGAUGAGAUUACGAUAAUUAGACCGAUUCGUCUUUAAACACAAACUCUAAAUAAUCCCGAUCAUAGGUUACUCGAGAGGGAUAUCGAGAUAACCGGACAAAUUAGUGUACUAUAUACUCGUCCAUAUGAUGGAGGUGACUGGUCUCAUAGCUACUCAUGUGAAAACACUAAGGAUACAGUGCAGGUGCUCAUUGGAGAAUGAGUUCACUAAUUGAUCCGUUCACCGAAUGCUGGAUGGUUGAUGAUAUCUUAUUGUCAAAUAGUGAUUCCGUCAUCCCAAUAGUGUACCUAAUCCUUAGACUUGAGAUAUCAAGGAUGUCCUAUAUGAGUACUCCACUCUUUGAUACCGGACUUAUAUGUUUGGAAGUUCCAGAUCUAGCACAAUUGGUGAUCGGGAGUGGCAGCCAAUCUUAUGAGGGCUAUUGAGUAUCGAUAGAGGAUCAUCUGCUCUCAGUAUCAUGAAAGGAAUAUCCCAUAUGUUCUUACUGUUAGGACUAUUUCAGCACUAAGAGGGGGGUGAAUUAAUAUUUUUGUAAAACUUCGACAGUUUGAAAAACUUCAUUCGAUAAAAGCAUUUGUAAGUGUAGUGAGCAAAUAAAUCAGUUUGUAAUCAGAAUGAAGAGCAUAAAGUAAAUCCAAAUCGAGUUUAUAGUAGUUCGGUCAUCCCGACCUACAUCCACUCUUGAGUCUUCUACUAUCGAGGCCAUCGGCAUUCACUACCAAUCUUCUUUUAGCAGACGAAGAUCAACUAUCCUCUUAUAACUAUUUUUCCUUUUGAUAGGCUCAAAAGAGAACCUUUACAACUCUUACCUCACUUAUCCCUUAGAAAGACAUCUAAUUCUAGGAAGAGACUGUAAACUUUAAAAGAGAUUACAAUAAUUUUUCACUCAAGUAUUAUUUUCCCUUUCUACUCAAUUUCUUGCUGCCUUAAGCAGGAAAGAGUGGGGUAUUUAUAGACCCCAAAUGACUUUAAAAAUAGAGUCAAAAAGUAUCAUAUCCUCGGUUUCAAGGAUAUUGAUUGUACUACUAGUACUAGACGAUACUACUGCUUGCACCCCUAACAAUUAGCGGUACUACUGCUAGUCUAAGCGGUAUGACCGCGUGACAGCCUCGGAGAUUAGGCUAUGACGGUACCACUACUUGUCAGGGUAGUACCACCACCUAACACUGGGCAGUACCACUACCCAAACACUACCUAGGAGGCCGAUCCUCAAGAGUUUUCACCGCCAGCCCUAGUAGUGCCACCGCUUGACCUAGCUCUAGGUCACUGAAUGGGUCACCCAAUGGGCCCCUAACUGAGUUAGCCUAGUUACACCCGAAACUAACUUAAUUAAACCUAGACUACUUCUAUCUAGACAUAUAUAAUUACAAGCGUAAAUCCUAUAUUGUCCGGCAUAUCAUUGGUUCAUCCGACGCUUUAUCCAAUCCUUCGAUGCUUCAUCCUCUCCUUCAAUGUAUUGCUCAACUGACAUGUUAACCUUCCAUAAUAUCCAAUCUCCUUUGGCGUAAUGUUUGAUCCUUCGAUCCGAUGCUCGAACUCAUGGCAUGAAGUCCUUCCGACAAGUUGACUAGUCCUUUGACCCGACGUCCAAUCUUUUGACAUGUUCCACUCCGGCCCAACAUUUGAUUCUUCCUGCUUUAAUGAUUUGUAUUUCUAUGAUCGAAGUUAGUUUUGCGUCACUCAAACACACAUUAGAUCAUAACUUCAUCAAUUGAUUUCAUCAUCAAAAUCCGAGAUUCAAUAAUCUUUUCCUUUUUUAUGAUGACAACUAAUUGCUGACGGAGUUUAAACUAAACUCCCCCUAUUAAUAUGUCAUAUUGAAUUAAAACAAACCUUCAUUUAAAAAGAAUGACAACCUUUGAAACCAUGACUUUCACAUCAUUGCAUACAUGAGUAUUGCGUGUAUAAUUUUAACUCAUUAUAAUUUCAAAACAUCAAAGUAUGUCAUGCAUGAUCAUCAUCAUAACUUCUCCCCCCUUUGUUAUCAACAGAAAGGAUAAAAGUGCAACUAGUAAAAUUUUGAAACAUGCAAGCUAGUAAGUUAGCAAGUUUUACUUCACUUUUGAACAUGUAAGCUAGCAAGUUUUUGAGAUAUGAAAGUUAGCAAUUUUGCUUUUCUUAAGAUAUAGAAGCCAGUACUUUUACUUUUUUUUGAAAUAUGUAAGCUAACAAACUUUGCUUCUCUUUCGAGAUGUGCAAGCUAGCAAUCUUUGUUUCUCUUUUGAAAUAUGCAAGCUAGUAAUCUUUCUUUGAAAUAUGCAAGCUAACAUUUUUGUCUCCCCCUUUAUCAUUGUCAAAAAGAAGAGAAAAAUACAAUUAUGUAAUUUUUUUUCCUUUACAUCAUUUUUAAAUUAUGACAAAAUAAAAGAUAUCAAUUUGGUGAUGAGGUAUAUAAUUCAUGAAUAUAAGGGAGUCAUUUAGGAUAAAUAAAUUAUGACAUGAAAGAUUAAUAUUAAAUUAUGAGUACCAAAAGCCAUGAUUUAUUUUGACAAAUUUUCUCUUAAAUAACAAAAAAAAAUAUUAGAGGAUCAAAUAGUAAAAGAUCUUUAAAAGAAAUUUUAAGUCAUCAAUCAAGAGAAAAAUCAUAGAUCUUAAUUUAUAAAAAAUCUCAAGUUAUAAUUAUCAAGAUCAUGGUUAUUUAUAUAAUUCUCCUCUUUGGUAAAUGGUAAAAAGUAGAAAUCAUAGAAAAUAAAAAAGAUUUUGAUUCCCAUAAAAGAUACCUCAAGUCAAGAAUUUAAGAGAAAGUUCAUGAUUCGGUUGGAAAAAUCUCAUUCAAAAAUAUCAUAAAUGGAUUUAUCAAUCUGUUAUUGAAAAAUUCGAUAAGCUUAAAGGAUAGAGAAAUUUUCAAGAAAAAUAUAUUCUUCUUUUUUAGUUAUUUCAAUUCAUGCGAUUGAUUUCAUAUAAGCAUGCUCUUGUCUUUUAUACUAAAUCCAUGUAUCAUCGAUUAAAACUAGAAAAUAAGUUUCGUCAUGAUAAAGAUCAAUAGUAUAACAUAAAAACAAAUAUCUUCAAUCAAAUAAUUCCAAUGUCAAUGUUAUCAUUGUUUUGACUAGUGAGCUUUAUGAAGUAUGUUGGAUCUCUAAUCAUAUGCUUGAGCAUCCAUUAUCAAGAUAUCAUUUUGCUCCUAGCUUUCGAUUGUAGUCAUUUCUACUAGAAAUAUGGGUUUGCUUUAGAUAUCCAUUUGACUUUGGGUCCCUCAAGAUUAGAUCUACCUAUAUUGUCUAUUGGCAUAAAAUUAUUUAUGGUUCCUUUAAGAACCCAAAUUAAUUUAUACGAGUCAUACUUUAUAUAUAUAUAUAUAUAUAUAUAUAUAUAUAUAUAUAUAAUAANNNNNNNNNNNNNNNNNNNNAUUAUAUAUAUAUAUAUAUAUAUAUAUAUAUAUAUAUAUAUAUAAACAAAAUAAUUAUGUCUACCACAAAAAUUACACGUAACCUUAGGGAAAACAAGUACACAAAUGUGGUUGGCUUUUGUCGAGUAUUACUCACAAAGUCGAUUCCUUCCUUUUUAUGAACAUGAUCCUUUUUGGCAAGAAUCAUAUUUAAUUAUUUGCUACUAAUUUUAAAUUUUUUUAAUACUUAUUCUAAUAAUAAAUUGUUUUUUUUAUAUGAAUCUGACUCUUCACAUUUAGUGCAAGAAGUUAAUAAGCAUUUAUCAUACUCAUUUUUAAAAAUUUUAAAUUCAUUAGAAAGAGAAGUAUGAUCUUUUUUUAAUAAUUUAUAUUUUUUACUAAUUAAUUAAAUUUAUCAAACAAAUCAUGAAAAGCAUCAAGUAAUUCGUUGUAAAAUAAAGAAGUUUCAAUUGAGUUGCAUUCCUUGUGAUUGAAAGUCAUCAAAGUGUAGUUCAUCAUAUCGUCUUUGUUGGUUUGCUCCUCGUCUUCAGAUGUACUCAAUUUGUCCUAUGUCACUUUGAAUGCUUUCUUCUUCUUUAGUAGCUACUUCUUUAGUUUUGGAUAUUUGCUUUUGAAGUGCCCUAGCAUUUGCAUUCAUGGCAAAUGAUUAUAUCCUUUUUAAUUCAUUUUUAUAUUCUUAUUUUAUGAACUUUUUAAAUUUUUUUGUGAGGAGUUCUAUAUUAUAUUCACUUGCUUUCACUCAGAGUGUCUUCUUUGAUUCUAAGUGUAAUAACCUUUCUAUUCUUUGGAAGUCUGUCCUCAUAUUAGUCAUGUGUCAAAUAAAUCAUUUUAUAUGUCAUUAAUGAAUCAAUAAGUUCUUCUAGUGAAAAAUUAUUUAAGUCCUUUGCCUUUUGUAUUAACGGAUCCCAAUUCUUUAUAAGAAAUCUUAGAAUCUUGUUUAUAAGUUUAAGAUUAGAAAAACAUUUGUUAAGAGCUUUCAAACCAUUAAUGACAUCCGUAAAACUGAUAUACAUAUCUCCAAUGGUUUCGCUUAGUUUCAUUUGAAACAAUUCAAAAGCAUACAUCAAAAGAUUAAUCUUAGACUCUUUAACUCUACAUGUGCCUUCAUGUGUGACUUCCAAUGUGUGCCAAAUAUCAUGUAUAGUUUUACAUAUAGAAACAUGAUUAAACUUAUUUUUGUCUAAAGCGUAAAAUAAAACAUUCAUAGCUUAGCGUUUAAGGAAAAUGAUUUUUUCUCUAAAUCAUUCCAUUUAUUCAUUGAUUUAGAUAUUCCAUAAAUCAAAGUUCAUAGAAAGUAAAAAAAUCAUCAUACGAGUUCCAAUACGUGUAGUCCGUCCUAUUGAAUAUAGGAGGAUGAGUGAUUGAGUGACCCUCUAGAUUACCGGUAAAAGCCAUUUUCUUGGAUGUUAAACCAAUCAAGAAAAACUUGGCUCUGAUAUCAAUUAUUAUGACUGUUUCAGCACUAAGAGGGGGGAGGGGGGGAUGAAUUAGUGCUUUCAUAAAACUUCGAUGGUUUAGAAAAUUUUAUUCAAUAAAAGCUUGUAUCGAAAAGAUGUUUAACUUAAAAGCAUUCAUAAGUAUAGUAAGCAAGUAAAUCAAUUUAUAAUAAGAAUGAAAAGCAUAAAGUAAAUGCAAACUGAGUUUAUAAUGGUUCCAUCGUCCCGAUCUACAUUCACUCCCGAUUCGUCUUUCAUCGAGGCCACCAACAUUCACUACUAAUCUUCUUUCAAUGGGUGAAGAUUAAUUACCCUCUUACAACUCUUUCUCCUUUUGAUAGGCUUAGGAGAGAACCUUUCCAACUUCUCUUUUACACUAGAUCUCACUCCUCCCUUAGAAAGACCUCUAACUCUAGGAAGAAGAGACUUUAAAUUUUGAAAGAGAUUAUAAUACUUUUUCUCUCAAGUAUUCUUUUUCCUUUCUACUCAAUUUAUUGUCUCCUCAAGUAGGAAAGAGUGGGAUAUUUAUAAAUCCCAAAUGUCUUCAAAAUGGAGCCAAAUGUAUCACAUCCUCGGUUUUCAGGGUACUAGCGGUAGUACCGCCAGUAUUAGGCGGUACUACUACUAAUACUGGGCGAUGCUACAACUUGCAUCGCUGACAACUAGCGGUACUACCACCAAUCUGAGUGGUAUGACCGCUUGACAACCUCAGAGAUUGGCUCUAGCGGUACCAUCGCCUAUCAAGGCGAUACCAUCGCCCAAACACUACCUAGGAGGUUGAGCCUUAAGCGGUUCCACCGCCAGCCCUAGCGGUGCCAUCACCUGACUUGGUUCUAGGUCACUGAAUGAGCCAUCCAAUGGGCCCCUAAUUGAGUUAGUCUAAUUACACCCGAUUCUAACUCAAUUAGACCUAGACUACUUCGAUCUAGACACACAUGAUUACAAGCGUGAAUCCUAUGUUGUCUGGCAUGUCAUUGGUUCAUCCAACAUUUGAUUCUUCCUGCUUCACUCAAACGUAUAUUAGAUCAUAACUUUAUAAAUUGAUUUUAUCAUCAAAAUCAAAGAUUCAACACUUGCUUAGUCAAAUCCCUUAUUAGGGUUAUUUAGAUUGAGAGAGAAAGAGUUCUCCGAGAAAAUCCGAUUAGAGCGAGACUCGAUUAGAAACCAUAUGGGUCUGAUAGCACCAUACCCAAUAUACAAUCUAUAGGAUAUUAAAUGGAUAAGGGACUAUAGGUACACAAUAACUAAGGAUAGACAAGUUUAAUUGAUUUGAUUCUCUUGUAUUGUUUAGAGACUACGACGUAGUCGAUAAGUCGAGUAAAUUAUUAUGGAGAUAAUAAUUCACUAAGCUAGAAGGAGUUCUGAUAGGUAUAACUCAUGGCUAGCUCGAUAUUGGGCCUAGAGGGUCACACACAUAUAGUUGGUGUUACAAUGAGUAGAUGUUCAAAUAUGAGAUAUCCGCUAGAGCCCCUAUCUUAUUGGAUAUCCAAUAAACUCUUGAAUUAUUAGAUCUUAUGGAUGAGAUCCAAUAAGAGUCAAUAAGAGAUUAUUGGGUAGAGACCCACUAAUCUUAGAGGCUUGGUACUUGGAUGGAGAUUUAGUACCCAAUAUGGUAGGAUCCAUUAGUAUUAAGUUGAUAGGGGGCCUCUAUAAAUAGGAGGAAACCAAAGGGCCAUAGGCUAAGCCUUUUUGGCUGCCACCUCCUAUUCUCCUCUCCUUGUGUCCUACUCAACAUGUAGCCCCUAUUUGGGGCAUGUAGAUAGUAAGAAGGGGUGGCCCCAUUUUUAUUGCGUGGUGCGCGUAGUGAGGAGGAUUAUGCAGCAAUUUGAGGAGCAUCUUCGAAGCCCCUGCUAUGUGGAUCACCGCUAGAGAGGAGGACAAUUGACCUCCUUCAUCCUCUCCC